CUCCUGCCUUUGUUGUUUCUUCUUUUCCUGGCGUCUGGGUUUUUCUCCCAAUGGGGUGGGUGGUUUGUGUCCCGAUUCACUGCUAGUCCCAGAAGGUGUCCAGCCGAGACUCUUUCGGGAGGAGGCUCUUCGUGCUGGUACUGGUGUUGUGAUCGGAACGUGUCGAUCCCCUCUUCUCAUCACUGCUGCUCCAACUGGAUUUAUUACUCCGGGAAUGGUCUGAGGGGGAAAACCAAUGUGUUUAGCGUGCCUGCCCACCUGCGCCUGAGCACAACUAUCCUGCAAUCUGACCUGCCCCUCCUGCACAGGAAACCACCUUCCCCUCCCAAUUGAUGGUUCAAACACUGCCACCGCUGACUGCCCUGCAUCUGUGGGUCUGUAGAACAGAAAGGUAGAACAACUUAUUUUUUAGGAUUUAACGACAACCGGUUGAAAAAACGGUAGGGUGUCAUGCUCACAGAGAAUAAAGAUUUGUAGAAAAGGUGCUGAACUGCCAAGGAAGGCAUUUCUUGUGCCGUGUCUGGAACCGUGUAUCCUUACUACAUCACUGAACGACACCAAGCACCCCAUGCACUUCUGGGUCCAACCUUGGCCCCUGGAGAAAGACACUGAAAUUUGGCAUGCAGUCUACUUCCGUUAGUGGGAUUUCUUUUAUCAAUGUAUAGGCAACUUGAAAAAUGGCCUUACAACCAAAUCACACUUGUCCACCCAAGGGAAAGGAUCAUAAAGGAGAAGAAUGGUUAAGUCCACCUGGGAACACACACCCACUGACUCCCGGUAAGGACAAGCUUAUGGGUGACUGAAGAAUUCAGAAUCAGAAUAAGACCUAGGAUGGCUUCAAGGACACAUGGACAAGGAGCUGAGUAGUGACUGAGUAAGAAAUAAGUGAAGAAGCUGAAGGAAGAGCCGAAUGAGGUGUCUGUGAAGAGCACUUUAGCCAACAGCCCAGCCCAGAUCUGCAGCUCUGCUAGAUGGCUGACUGGAGAAACCUUCCAGCCAAGCCCUAAGAUCCCAUCACAUCCUGGAUCAUGUACUAAGUUCAGACAGACUGGGACAGAAUUAUUUUUUAAUUUCUUAAGGUGGGUGAUAAUGUUUGGUUGAAAGAGGUUGAGGGCAAGAGUGGAGUGGGCCAAGGAGGGGACCAUGCUACUACCUAGGGGGGCUGCAUUUCUUACUGCCUGGUAAAAAGGCAUGUGUGGGUAAUCAUGAGUUCUGGAAGAUAAGCAGUGAAGAGAAUGACAAAGAUCUCCAAAGUCAUGUAGUUACUCAGGAGAGAACUCUUCUUAGUCAUGUGCAUCAGUGACCAAAAGGGAGCAAUACUAUGGUAGGCAGAGCUGGGGGCAAGGGCGGAGUCUUCUUAACAAUCCUCAAUCUGCCUUCUUAUGCCUUCUUCCCUUAGCCGCCAUGCCUAUGCUUUUAUUUCUCCGGAAGGACUCUGGGGAGUGAUGCAGCUGGUCAUCCCCAUCUGGGAGAAAAUCCUACAGUGAUGUGGUCAAACCACAUCAAGUCCUUCCAGCUCUGGUGAGGGCAGAGACCACCAGCGGGUACUGGAAGAAAUGGGACCAGGGCCAAGCUGAGUUCAGUAUCUCUCUCCCAGAACCAGGCUGGCUAAUGGAGGGAUCUGCAGGCCCUCACUCCUCAUAUGGAGAGGACACGGGACACUGGCUGCCAUAGCCAAUCACCACAGGAGGGAAUCGGUGUUCAUCUAGGACCCUUUAUGAAAAGAGCGAGGACGAUCUCCAUCAAGAAGCCAGGCCACAUGCUCGCUCUCAUUUCCUAAUGCAGUUUGUGAUGGCGACCAGAGGCACAGCGAAGAAGAAACGUUGCAAAGGAAGACCCACAACUCAAAAGAACAGGAGAAGACACACCCACAAAGGAACACAUACACGGACACACACAGAACAAGCCUUCUGCAUACCAGGAAGAAGCCCCGGCAGCUUUCGUAAGACAGGUUCAUACUUACACUUCUGGGCGGGGUAGUUGGGGUGCGGCUGGUGGUCUGUGGUGGUUGGGGCAUAGGCAGGUUGCUUGUCACACCUUUUGCUAACUGAAGAGAUAGCACAGGUAGCCUCAGAGUCUGUCAGAGAGCUGGAAUUCCGCACAACCCCAAGUGCUUACUAUUUUUGUUCAUCAACAGGCUACUGUUAUUAGAACCAGUUGGCACCUUCAUUCAUGUCACCAUUGUCCAACUUUAAUGCAAGCACAGGAGACUAAGUCUCUUUAAAAAUGCAUAUCAAACCACAAACAGCAUCACUGGACACAGCACAGCAUUACAGGUAGGAAAUAAGGUAUACAAUGACAUAAAAGCAACUCAGCAUUUUGUAAGCCACAAAUUUUCAACCACUAGCUCUGCCAAUAGCCUAAUUCAACCAUGGGAAACGGAGGCAGGCACUAGAAACGUGCUAAGGUUGAAGGCAGCACCCGAGAAAGCCAGACAAUUUAAGGCAAUAACUCAUCAACUGCCCACAGUGAUAACAGAAUAGGGAGGAGAGGAUGGAGAAGGCACACGUGAUGAGGAGGACUAAGGAAGGGGCUCCAGAUGAGGUGGCAAGUAAGCUAAAUUCUCAGCUACGAUGGUAGCACACCAACAAAUCACCUCUGAAAUCAGAGUCAAAAAACAGUGAUAUGAAAGGAGUCUCCGUAAACAGCUGAUACCGUGAGAAGCUUCAUAGGAAAACAAUUGAAAGUAAGAUCAAGAGAAAAAAUAGAAACUCCAGGAAAAAGGCUAUAAAAGAAUGGAAUAUAAUCACAGUACACUAUGUGACUCUGCCAUGAAUGAUAUGGUCAUAAUCAUACAAGAAAGAAUUGUCACACUGCAACUUUUUAGACUAAGCCAACAGACAAGAGUGAGGCUUAACUGCAGUUAUAGGACAGAAUGCACAUGUUCUCAACCUUGACAACGGGGAAAGUCACAGGACAGGUGGGAAGCCUGGCUAUGACAGGGGUGGGAGAGGUAAGGAGAAGAUGGACUGCCAAAAGAGGGGUCAAGAGAUACUGUCUGUAGCAGACAGAACAAAAGAGCUAAGGAGGCAAGUGUUUCACUGGAGCAAGGUAGCACAUAAAAUAGCAACCUCAGUAGUGUGGGAAGAGGAAGAGAAGAGUAACUCUCAUCUUUUAAAGCUCGAAGUCAACAAAUAAUAUCUAAUGAUGAAGUCAAGAAAUAGAGGUAUAGCCAAGUACAUUAUUUAUUAGUAAGGAGGUAACAGAAGGACCAGAAUGAGCCGUGUAAACUGGAACUAGGAAGAGUUUUCCCCUGCACUAUUUUAUUCUCUGCAACUCUAUGCAUAUAGCUCUAACUAAAAGCUUAAAACGAAAAGAUGAACAGGAGAGGCCCACACACUAAGGGAGCUCAUACCCCUAACUAAAAUUCUCUCUCUUCCAACUAAACUUAGAUGUACUGUCCUAGUACCUGAUGCACAUAAAUAGCUCAGAAGCCUUGACGUUUUUAAAACCCAUGUUCCUUCUAGAUAUGUCACGUGCGCUGUCACCAGAAAGCAAGUGCUGGCAGAAGUAAAGUGACAUGGAUGAGGAAUUAAUUAGAAGGGGAUCAAAACUGAGGAAGUCUUUUUGCUUUGACGUGACCUGUCAACACAAACUGCUUUGGUGAGAAAAUCGGGAAGACUGAGAAGACUGACGGCUGCAUUCCCGCACAGACCUCUGCGGCCUCCCUGCAGCUUCUCACUCACACUCUCAGAAUCACUGCGGCACUGACUGCAAAACGCACUUUUUCUGCCACUUUCUGACCAUGGGCUCCAUGGCGCUCUCACUGUGCUGAUGUGACUCUGCCCAGCCUCUUUCCAAGUCCUAAAUGUCGGACUAAAUCUCUUGUUUUUGAGACACAGUCUCACUCUGUCGCCCAGACUGGAAUGCAGUGGCACGGUCUCAACUCACUGUAACCUCCGCCUCCUGGGUUCAAGUAAUUCUCAUGCCUCAGGCCCCUGAGUAGCUGGGAUUACAGGGGUGUGUCACCACGCCUAGCUAAUUUUUUGUACUUUUAGUAGAGACGGGGUUUCACCAUGUUGGUCAGGCUGGUCUUGAACUCCUGACCUCAAAUGAUCCACCCACCUUGGCCUCUCAAGGUGUUGGGAUUAUAGGCAUGAGCCACCACGCCUGACCUAAAUGCGGGGCUAAAUCUCUUUUAGUGUAGCCCCGGGUGCACCUCAAUCUUUAUCCAAACCCUGGAGAGGAGGCCCUUUCUGACAUGAAGAUACCAUGAUUCUAGCCAAUCUGGUCGUCUUUUAAGAAAAAAGUCUCUGCUGCUGACCACGGUGGCACAUGCCUAUGAUCCCAGCUACUCAAGAGGCUGAAGUGGGAGAAUGGCUUGAGCUCAGGCCAAGUUCAAGGCCAGCCUCGGCAACAAGGCAAGAUCCUGUCUCUUAGGUUUCAAAACAACAUUUAGAAUUAAAAAUGUCGGCCAGGCAUGGUGGCUCACGCCUGUAAUCCAAGCAGUCUGGGAGGCCGAGGCAGGUGGAUUGCCUGAGCUCAGGAGUUCGAGACCAACCUGGGCAACACGGUGAAACCCCAUCUCUAAUAAAAUACAAAAAAUUAGCUGGGCGUGGUGGUGUAUUCCUGUAAUCUCAGCUGCUCAGGAGGCUGAGGCAGGAGAAUCACUUGAACCUGGGAAGCAGAGGUUGCAGUGAGCCAAGAUUGCACCACUGCACUCCAGCCUGGGCAACAGUGCAAGACUCCAUCUCAAAUACUAAUAAUAAUAAUAAUAAAUGUCCAUGACUGUUAAUGGCUUAGGGGGAUGGUGGAGUAUCAGAAUAGAAACUGUAUCAUAGCAGCAGCGGAGUGUGUAAAGAAAGGGAAAUGGAGACAAAUGAAACAACUUUUUUUUUUUUUUUUAAAUAUGAGGUCUCACUCUGUUGCCCAGCUGGAGUGCAGUGGCUAUUCACAGGCACUCACUGCAGUCUCAAAACUCCUAGGCUCAAGUAACCCCCCUGACUCAGCCUCUCCAAGUAGCUGGGACUACAGGUGGGCCCUAGCUCUAGAAUAACAACCCUUGAAGAGACAUCUAACUAACUGGGUUGAGGAAGGAGACAGGACAGGUCUUAAGCUAUGCCAUUCAAUAUGGUAACCACUACAAUAAGAUACAAUGUUAAAUUCCAUUCCUCAGUCGCACUAGCCACAGUUCAAGGCUUCAGCAGCGACACGUGGCUAGUGGCUACCAUAGUGGACAGUGCAAAUAUAAGAACAUGGCCAUUGUCACAGAACGUUCUAUUGGAGAUGCAAGGUGUCAAGGAAGGCACUUGGAGAUAGAUGAGGAUAUUUAAGUGCCUAGGAAGAAAAGCAAUACAGAGUGAGAAAUCUGGCUACAACAAAGGAUGCAGAUGCCUUUGAACGGCAGGAGGGAAGGACAGAGCACACCACGGAGGCCCUGCAGAGGGCAGAGGAGCAGCCCUGAGCGCCCAGGGAUGGUGACGCAGGGAGAGAUGCAGGGAGGUCCAAAACAGAGCAGAGAACUUGAGAAAUAGCCAUCAUGGACGAUGGAAUCCUGAUAAAAACAAAAAACUUGGGUCACAACACAGGCCUCUGGCCAGGCACGGUGGCUCAUGCCUGUAAUCCAGCACUUUGGGAAGCCAAGGUGGGUGAAUCACUUGAGGUCAGGAGUUCAAGACCAGCCUGGCCAACACAGUGAAACCUUGUCUCUAUUAAAAAUACAAAAAAUUAGUUGGGCAUGGUGAUGCACACCUGUAAUCCCAGCUACUCAGGAGGCUGAGGCAGGAGAAUCACCUGAAUUGAGGAGGCAAAGGUUGUAGUGAGCCAAGAUCACGCAACUGCACUCCAGUCUGGACAACAGAGCGAAGACUCUGUCUCAAAAAAAAAAAAAAAAAAAAAAAGGGCCGGGCUGGGCGUAGUGGCUCAAGCUUGUAAUCCCAGCACUUUGGGAGGCCAAGGCACGUGAAAUCACCUGAGGUCAGGGGUUCAAGACCAGCCUGGCCAACAUGGUGAAACCCCAUCUCUACUAAAAAUACAAAAUUAGCUGGGUGUGGUGGUGCACACCUAUAAUCCCAGCUACUCGGGAGGCUGAGGCAGGAGAAUCACUUGAACCCAGGAGGCAGAGGUUGCAGUGAGCCGAGAUCAUGCCACUGCACUCCAGCCUGGGCGACAGAGCAAAGACUCUGUCUCAAAAAAGUAGAAUAAAAAAAGAACACAGGUCUCUGGGGACAAAAAGUAUUAAUAAAAGAAAAACAUAUUGGGAAGACGAUCCGGCAGAAGAGAAUAUCUGCUUCUGAGGUUAGUGACCCAGAUUUGCGUGUGUGAUGAGAGGAGUUUGUGUUCUUGUGUAACAUUCUCCAGUUAAGCACUGAGGCUCAGGUGCAGGUAAAUCAAAAGCGGAAAGCUGGGGUUCAUCCAAGGUGAGGUUUUGCCAAAUGGACAUGCUAGGAAAACAGGAAGGGCCUGGGAGACUGGGUUGUAUUAGCAACAGUACUCCAUGGAAAUUAAGCUGGGUAAGGAGGUAGGAAGGAGGGAGGUAUAGAAACAAGACAGUUAGUAGAAUUGGGUGAGGAAAAAAAGGCCACAUCUGCACGCUGACGUUUCCUAGAGAUCAGUGCCUUAUUAGCAGAGCCACGCACAAGUGCCAUUACUCAGCCAUUUUUGAGUUACAACAAUUUUAUAGGUGUCCACCUAAGUAUACCUGACAUAUGGUUGCAAGCAUGAGUCUGGAUUGCAAAGCUCAAUUGGUUGCAUAUGGUUGCAAAGCUCAGUCCUUGUUAAAAAGAGAAUCAAGAAAUAUGAGAGAUGCUAAAGACAUCUCAGUAUCAAACUAAGCCUGUUCGAAGGGGAAGUGAAGAGGGAGUUGCUUUCUCAGUAGGUGCUUCCGUCAUAUUUAAUGCCAAGUUCGUAUCCUUCCUAAAGUGAGCUCACGUUACUCCCUCUGACUGUGCCCCCAAAUCCCACCCACCCACCUUUCAAAGCAUGAGUCUGGAGAGAUCUGAACUGAAGUCUUGGCUCUCAUAAUUACUCAUUGAGUUACCUGGGCAUCUGAGUUAAUGUCUCUGGACCUCAACUUGCUCAUCUGUAUAAUGGAAAUACUAACUAUGCUCUUACAGACAUUGGGGAAAAACAUGAUAAGGUGUUCAUGCUCUUCAGUAUCACCAAUAGCUGCUCUUCUGACUUCCUUUGAAACUCCACGAAGAUAGGCAUUUAUCUGCCUUAUUCAGAAAAACUGCCCCUUCCUCCCCCUGCUCGCCCCCCUCUUCCCCCCACCAUUUACUGGGGCUUCUUGCCUCCUCUCCCUUCCACUCCCUGGGCCAGUGUGCCUCAGGUCAGGAGUCAGCAAACUAUGGCCAGCUCAAUGCCUGUUUUUGCAAUUCAAGUUUCAUUGGCACAAGGCACACGUUUGUUUACAUAUUAUCUAUGUCUACUUUCACACUACAACGGCAGGGUGAGCAGCUAUGACAGGAACCAUGCGGCCUGCAAAACCUAAAAUACUUACUAAAUGGCCCUCUAUGGAAAAAGUUUCUUGACCCUGGUCUAGGUAAUACUCCUCCAGCUCAGAAUGGAAUACGAUGCCUCUCCCAACUACCUUCCUGUAUGCCACCCUCCUGAUGCCAACAGACUCCUGCCAGAUUCAUCCUACCACGGCAUCAUUCAUCUUCUCAGAUGCCAUUUCAAUCAAGCCACUUUGAGGCUCCAAAACCCUAACAGCACCCCUCUGUCUGAAACGGUGUUUCCCUAACUUGGACCUUCCUCACACCACUUGUGCCAUUUCGACACAUCCAUAGUCCUCUUACAUAUUGCUUAGUUCAUGUUUUUAUUUUAAACUUAUGUAACUUAGGUAAAUAACUAAACUUUUAUUGUUAACCAACAAAAAACACAAAACCAAUAAAAUCUGCUGUUAAAUCAAGGGCAACUCCAAAAAUGAAUGUAAUGAAAACCUUAAAUUAAAAGUUCUAGGGUGGGGAGCAUGCGGCUAAAAUCUAGAGUCUGCUCAGUCUUUGUUAAAAAGAGAAUCAGGAAAUAUGAGAGAUGCUAAAGACAUCUUAGCACUAAACUGAGCCUGUUACAAGGGGAAGUGAAGAGGGAGUUGCUUUUUCAAUAGGUGGUUCAGUCAUAUUUAAUGCCAAGUUCAUAUCCUCCCUCCUAAAGCAAGCUCAUAUUACUCCCUCUGACUGUGCCCCCAAAUCCCAUCCAACUUUCAAGGCCUAGCCCCUUAGGGAAACCGUUCCCAGCCCCUAACAAUGGACAUCACUUCUUCCUCCAUGCACUCAAUAUGCAGAAGUGAAAUGAAAUGUUUGCUUUUCAGCUCAAGAGAAUCGUCAGUGGCUCACGCCUGUAAUCCCAGCACUUCCGGAGGCAGAGGCGGGAGGAUCACUUGAGGUCAAGAGAUCAAGACCAACCUGGCCAACAUGGCAAAACCCCGUUUCUACAAUUUUUUUUUUUUUUUUUUUUGAGAGAGAGUCUCGCUCUGUCUUCCAGGCUGGAGCGCAGUGGCACGAUCUCGACUCACUGCAACCUCCACCUCCUGGGUUCAAGCGAUUCUCCUGCCUCAGCCUCCCAAGUAGCUGGGAUUACAGGCGCAUGUCACCACGCCCAGCUAAUUUUUGUACUUUUAGUAGAGACAGGGUUUCACCAUGUUGGUCAGGCUGGUCUCAAACUCCUGACCUUGUGAUCCGCCCACCUCAGCCUCCCAAAGUGCUGGGAUUACAGGCAUGAGCCACUGCGCCCGGCCUACCAAAAUUUUUUUAAAAAAUUAGCCAGGCAUGGUGGUGCGUCCCUGUAGUCCCAGCUACUUGGGAGGCUGAGGCAGGAGAAUCACUUGAGCCUGGGAGGCGGAGGUUGCAGUGAGCUGAGAUCACACUACUGCACUCCAGCCUGGGCGACAGGGCAAGACUGUCUCAAAAAAAAAAAAAAAUCAUCAUCAGGCAGAAAGGUCCUGGAGCUGUGGUGCCAGGCAAAAACCUUGAAUGAAGUAAAACUGUCUUCCACCAGGAAGACACCUUCUCUGAACCCUUCUGGAAUGACCCAAAACUGCUUUAAGAAAGUGCAGGAAAAAGAUUCUUUGGGCUAAGGAAGGAAGACAGCUCAAACCCCACAGAAGAAAAAACCUAGAUGUCAAGUCUCAGAAAUUUCCCCAAACCUGCCUGCCAGGUUAUUCUCCAAAAGGAAAGGAUUUAACAGAAAGAUCAUCCACUUAAGCACUGCCUUCAAUUCUCAAAGGCUUGAGCGCCUUCAUCCACCAUAUGCAGGUGUCAGAACCUCAGAAUAAAAUCUUACACAGUGUCAUUUACCGUUCUCAUUUCCCUGAGAGAGAGAGAAAAAAAAAACUUCCCAAUCCAAAUGCACUUCUUCUACCCUACCCCAGGUCAGCAACAGAACCCUCUGUCCAAAUGGAGUUUUAUGUGGAUCCCCAGUAAAUACAAUAGGUAAUACCGAUCAGCUUGAAGAGGUACCUGAAAGUUAACAUGCUCAGCUACCCCCUCACCCCCACUGACCCACCCCAGGCACCCCUAAGGAUCCAUAAUCGUUUGGAAACCAUUGGAAUAAACCCUUCAAAUUCUCCCUGACAAAAUGGCUCCCCAUCUGCCCAUCUGAAAUGUGAAAGCACCGUUCGCCCACCAGGGGGCAACAUACCAGAGCCUUGGUUGGAGCCUAAGAGAAUGGAGGAGGGCGUCUCUCUGGAGCCAGAAAGGUCAAGGGUCUAGAAAUACAAAAAGAAAAAGAUGGACUCAAGGCACUGAGGCUACUGUCGCCCCCACAGGGAAAUCCAGGGAGUCAUGGGGGUGCUCAUCGCUGCCCCCAAAGCAUCUCAGUGUCCUCUGCCUGGCACGGUCAGGUGGGAGUGAUGGGCACAGGGCGGCCAGGUGGCCAAACCCCAGGUACCAUCUCCCACACUGAACAGACUGGAACGCAGCACCAGAGUGGCCCCUCACUGUACCCUAGAACAUUCACUGUUUCCUAAACUCCACUCACUAACAGAACCCCCUCCAGAUUUUUGCCAUAUCCAAGGAGAAAGUACAUUACUUCAAAAUUCUGUCAGUCCGCUUUUAAUUCAUGCUAGCCUCUGACUAGGUAAUACUAUCAGUUAAACCAACAUGUUUUAACUGACAGUCUAACGAUUUAUCUUUUUCCUAAUAUGCAAUGAAAUAGAUAUACAGUGACUAAAAAUGUAAAAAACUAUAUACUCAUGAAAAUAGUCUUUGCAUACCAUCAAUGUCACAUACAUCACACCCUGGCAAACAAACAAGGAGGUGAAACCUUCGUGGCCCAAUAGGGCAGCCACUAGCCACAUGUGGCUACUGAAAUCUCAAUUAAUUAAAAUUAAAUAAAACUGUAAAAUCAGGUCCUCGGUCACACUAGCUGCAUUUCAAGUGCUCAAAAGCUGCAUGUAGCUAGCAGCUACCAUUCUGGACGGGAAGUACAGAACAUUUCCAUCAUCGCAGAAAGUUCUCCUGGGCAACACUAUUCUACACUUUGAGGGUCCCCAGCAGAGAGUACUGGGGAGCAGCUGCCAGGUCCCACACACGCCGGCCCAGGCUCCAUGUUCCCACACAUCCACUGGAAAUGCCGGCACACUGUUAGGACAAGCCUCCCACAACACGGAACUUUCAGGGCGGCAGACAGGGGGUCCUAAGUCCACUUGGCACAAAGGGUAGAUGUCACUAGCCAAAGGCAUGGGGGGAUCCUCACCGAGCCACUCUCCUUGCUUUUCUCAGCUGACGUCUCCUUCUCUUUGGAGGCGCUGGCCGUUUCUGAAGGUGCUGAUUGUGUGCUCGAGGAGCUCCCCUGGGAGGACUUAUUUAGUGUUUCUGUGUUCACCUCAGCAUCCGCUUCCUGCUGAGGAGCAGUAGCUGGGGACAAAGGAGAGAGAGAGACGCCACAUAUACACAGAGUACGAUGAUUUUGAAACAUGCAUGGAGCCCCGCCCUGCACCCAGUGGCACCCAAGGCUCAGCCCUACCCAGGGCAUAAAAGUGGAGGCUCAAGGGGGCCAGAUUGCCAGAGUUUUCCAGAAGCUGGAAUUCCAAACUUUAGAAUUCCAAAUUUUAACAUAAACAUGCUGAGAUGGAGUCUCGCUCUGUCAGCCAGGCUGGAGUGCAAUGGCACGAUCUCAGCUCACUGCAACCUCUGUCUCCUGGGUUCAAGUGAUUCUCUUGUCUCAGCCCACCAAGUAGCUGGGACUCAGGUGCACACCACCAUGUCCGACUAAUUUUUUGUAUUUUUAGUAGAGACAGGGUUUCACCAUGUUGGUCAAGCUGGUAUUGAACUCCUGACCUUAGGUGAUCCACCCACCUCGGCCUCCCAAAGUGCUAGGAUUACAGGCUUGAGCCACCGUGCCUAGCCAACAUGUUGAUUUUUAAUGGUUAGCAAUUCAAGUUUUAUUAAAUCAUUCUGGAGAUGAAAGUAUAUUCCUGGAACAAAUAAAGCCCAUCAACAAGAGCCAACCUGUAACUGCUGAUUUAGUUACUCUAUUUAGUCAUUUCUAGGUGGAGACCUAUAUUUUUAGCCCCAGAGACUUUCUUCCUUCUAAGGUGGGACAGGAAAACCACGUGAAAGGCGACAUGCUAUCAGAGGCCCAGAGAAUCUGGAGAUGGCAGAAACUUGGACACAUAGAAAAACAGGGCGUUUGGGGCCGGGUGCGGCGGCUCAUGCCUGUAAUCCCAGCACUUUGGGAGGCUGAGGCGGGCAGAUCACGAGGUCAGGAGAUCAAGACCAUACUGGCUAACACAGUAAAACCCUGUCUCUACUAAAAAACACAAAAAAUUAGCCAGGCGUGGUGGCGGGCACCUGUAGUCCCAGCUACUAGGGAGGCUGAGGAAGGAGAAU
rnacentral:lncRNA from 1 species